rnacentral:rRNA from 1 species
AGUGAACGCUGGCGGUAGGCCCAACACAUGCAAGUCGAACGGCAGCGCAGGAGAGCUUGCUCUCUGGGUGGCGAGUGGCGGACGGGUGAGGAAUACAUCGGAAUCUACUCUGUCGUGGGGGAUAACGUAGGGAAACUUACGCUAAUACCGCAUACGACCUACGGGUGAAAGCAGGGGACCUUCGGGCCUUGCGCGAUUGAAUGAGCCGAUGUCGGAUUAGCUAGUUGGCGGGGUAAAGGCCCACCAAGGCGACGAUCCGUAGCUGGUCUGAGAGGAUGAUCAGGCACACUGGAACUGAGACACGGUCCAGACUCCUACGGGAGUCAGCAGUGGGGAAUAUUGGACAAUGGGCGCAAGCCUGAUCCAGCCAUACCGCGUGGGUGAAGAAGGCCUUCGGGUUGUAAAGCCCUUUUGUUGGGAAAGAAAUCCAGCUGGCUAAUACCCGGUUGGGAUGACGGUACCCAAAGAAUAAGCACCGGCUAACUUCGUGCCAGCCGCCGCGGUAA